GAUGAACGCUAGCGGCAGGCCUAAUACAUGCAAGUCAAGGGGCUCGCAAGAGCACCGGCGGACGGGUGCGUAACGCGUACAGAACGUGCCUUUGGGCGGGGGAUAGCAUUGGGAAACUGGUGGUAAUACCCCAUGGUAUUUCGGGUUGGCAUCGACCUGGAAUUAAAGUUUCGGCGCCCAAAGAUCGCUGUGCGUCCGAUUAGCUAGUUGGCGGGGUAACGGCCCACCAAGGCGACGAUCGGUAGGGGGUGUGAGAGCAUGACCCCCCCACACGGGUACGUGAGACACGGACCCGACCUCCUACGGGAGGGCAGCAGUAAGGAAGUAUUGG
rnacentral:rRNA from 1 species